UGGGGGAUAUUGCACAAUGGGCGAAAGCCUGAUGCAGCGACGCCGCGUGGGGGAUGAAGGCCUUCGGGUUGUAAACUUCUUUUGCUCUGAACAAGGCGCACCAUGGGGUGUGUUGAGUGUAGGGGUUGAUUAGCGCCGGCUAACUACGUGCCAGCAGCCGCGGUAAUACGUAGGGCGCGAGCGUUGUCCGGAAUUAUUGGGCGUAAAGGGCUUGUAGGUGGCUGGUUGCGUCUGUCGUGAAAGCUCAUGGCUUAACUGUGGGUUUGCGGUGGGUACGGGCUGGCUUGAGUGCAGUAGGGGGGGGUGGAAUUCCUGGUGUAGCGGUGGAAUGCGCAGAUAUCAGGAGGAAUACCGGUGGCGAAGGCGGGUCUCUGGGCUGUUACUGACACUGAGGAGCGAAAGCAUGGGGAGCGAACAGG
rnacentral:rRNA from 1 species